rnacentral:pre_miRNA from 16 species
AUGGUCAUCGAAACGAGUAAAUCUCAUCCUAAUCGGUAGCAUCCAAUACAGUUAUGCUACCGAUUCGGCUUGGGAUUAACUUGUGGAGAUACGACACUUUU